rnacentral:rRNA from 1 species
UACAGAGGGUGCGAGCGUUGUUCGGAAUUAUUGGGCGUAAAGGGCGCGUAGGCGGUGCGGCAAGUCACCUGUGAAACCUCUGGGCUUAACCCAGAGCCUGCAGGCGAAACUGCCGGGCUGGAGUGUGGGAGAGGUGCGUGGAAUUCUCGGUGUAGCGGUGAAAUGCGUAGAUAUCAGGAAGAACACCCGUGGCUAAGGCGGCGCUCUAGUACGGUACUGACGCUGAGACGCGAAAGCGUGGGGAGCGAACAGG